rnacentral:rRNA from 1 species
AACGAACGCUGGCGGCAUGCCUAACACAUGCAAGUCGAACGAGACCUUCGGGUCUAUUUGCGCACGGGUACUUAACACGGGGUAACCUACCCGUAGGUUCGGAAUAACUCCCCGAGAGGUGUGCUAAUACCGGAUAGUGUCUUCGGACCAAGGAUUUAUGGCCUUUGGAUGGGGCCGCGUUGGAUUCGCUAGUUGGUAGGGUAAAAGCCUACCAAGGCGACGAUCCAUAGCUGGUCGGAUAAGAUGCUCAGCCACACUGGGAAUGAGACACGGACCAGACUGGGACGCAACGGAGCAGUGGGGAACACUGGACACGGGGGGCAAGCGCGACCAAGCAACGCCGGGGGAGUGAUGCAGCCGUUAGGGUUGUAAAGCUGUCUUACACGGGACGAUAAUGACAGUAACGGGAGAAGAAGCACCGGCUAACUCCGUG